GAGGCUACGGCUCAGUGGUAGAGCACGUGCUUAGCAUGCACGGGGUCCUGGGUUCAAGCCCCAGUACCCCCA
rnacentral:tRNA from 1 species